rnacentral:rRNA from 1 species
GUGGGGAAUAUUGGACAAUGGGCGCAAGCCUGAUCCAGCAAUGCCGCGUGGGUGAAGAAGGUCUUCGGAUCGUAAAGCCCUUUCGACAGGGACGAUGAUGACGGUACCUGUAGAAGAAGCCCCGGCUAACUUCGUGCCAGCAGCCGCGGUAAUACGAAGGGGGCUAGCGUUACUCGGAAUUACUGGGCGUAAAGGGCGCGUAGGCGGCUCUGUUAGUCAGGCGUGAGAUUCCUGGGCUUAACCUGGGGACUGCGCUUGAUACUGCAGGGCUUGAGGCCGAGAGAGGGUGGUGGAAUUCCCAGUGUAGAGGUGAAAUUCGUAGAUAUUGGGAAGAACACCGGUGGCGAAGGCGACCACCUGGCUCGGUUCUGACGCUGAGGCGCGACAGCGUGGGGAGCAAACAGGAUUAGAAACCCGUGUAGUCC